CCUACGGGUGGCAGCAGUAAGGGAUAUUGGUCAAUGGGGGAAACCCUGAACCAGCAACGCCGCGUGAGGGAAGACGGUUUUCGGAUUGUAAACCUCUGUCCUCUGUGAAGAUGAUUACGGUAGCAGAGGAGGACGCUCCGGCUAACUACGUGCCAGCAGCCGCGGUAAUACGUAGGGAGCGAGCGUUGUCCGGAUUUACUGGGUGUAAAGGGUGCGUAGGCGGCUUGGCAAGUCAGUAGUGAAAUCCAUGGGCUUAACCCAUGAACUGCUAUUGAAACUAUCUAGCUAGAAUGUGGUAGAGGUAAAGGGAAUUCCUGGUGUAGCGGUGAAAUGCGUAGAUAUCAGGAGGAACAUCGGUGGCGAAAGCGCUUUACUGGACCAUGAUUGACGCUGAGGAACGAAAGCCAGGGGAGCAAAUGGGAUUAGAUACCCCAGUAGUC
rnacentral:rRNA from 1 species